GUGCUCACUUCAGCAGCAUAUGUAGUAAAAUUGGAGCAAAACAGAGAAGAUUAGCAUGACCCCUGUGCAAGGAUGACAUGCAAAUCUGUGAAGUGUUCCAUAUGAAU